rnacentral:misc_RNA from 1 species
GAAUUAUAGUGCAUCUUGAAUCAAGAAUUUAUUCUUUUUUCAGAGCGUGACCUCCACUCUUAUAACAUUGUGCAUUUAUUGGCGGAGAAACGUAAGUUUUUCUGCGGCUCACCUUUUAAACAUUUAGUUAAAGUAUGUAUGCGAAAUAUCGAAAAAAAAAAAAACUUUCAACAACGGAUCUCUUGGCUCU